rnacentral:rRNA from 1 species
GACGAACGCUGGCGGCGUGCCUAAUACAUGCAAGUCGAACGCAUUUUCUUUCACCGUAGCUUGCUACACCGAAAGAAAAUGAGUGGCGAACGGGUGAGUAACACGUGGGUAACCUGCCCAUCAGCGGGGGAUAACACUUGGAAACAGGUGCUAAUACCGCAUAAUUCCAUUUACCGCAUGGUAAAUGGAUGAAAGGCGCUUUUGCGUCACUGAUGGAUGGACCCGCGGUGCAUUAGCUAGUUGGUGGGGUAACGGCCUACCAAGGCUGCGAUGCAUAGCCGACCUGAGAGGGUGAUCGGCCACACUGGGACUGAGACACGGCCCAGACUCCUACGGGAGGCAGCAGUAGGGAAUCUUCGGCAAUGGACGCAAGUCUGACCGAGCAACGCCGCGUGAGUGAAGAAGGUUGUCGGAUCGUAAAACUCUGUUGUUAGAGAAGAACAAGGAUGAGAGUGGAAAGUUCAUCCCUUGACGGUAGCUAACCAGAAAGCCACGGCUAACUACGUG